rnacentral:rRNA from 1 species
GUCGACUUGGAGGUUGUGCCCUUGAGGCGUGGCUUCCGGAGCUAACGCGUUAAGUCGACCGCCUGGGGAGUACGGCCGCAAGGUUAAAACUCAAAUGAAUUGACGGGGGCCCGCACAAGCGGUGGAGCAUGUGGUUUAAUUCGAUGCAACGCGAAGAACCUUACCUACUCUUGACAUCCAGAGAACUUUCCAGAGAUGGAUUGGUGCCUUCGGGAACUCUGAGACAGGUGCUGCAUGGCUGUCGUCAGCUCGUGUUGUGAAAUGUUGGGUUAAGUCCCGCAACGAGCGCAACCCUUAUCCUUUGUUGCCAGCGGUUAGGCCGGGAACUCAAAGGAGACUGCCAGUGAUAAACUGGAGGAAGGUGGGGAUGACGUCAAGUCAUCAUGGCCCUUACGAGUAGGGCUACACACGUGCUACAAUGGCGCAUACAAAGAGAAGCGACCUCGCGAGAGCAAGCGGACCUCAUAAAGUGCGUCGUAGUCCGGAUUGGAGUCUGCAACUCGACUCCAUGAAGUCGGAAUCGCUAGUAAUCGUAGAUCAGAAUGCUACGGUGAAUACGUUCCCGGGCCUUGUACACACCGCCCGUCACACCAUGGGAGUGGGUUGCAAAAGAAGUAGGUAGCUUAACCUUCGGGAGGGCGCUUACCACUUUGUGAUUCAUGACUGGGGUGAAGUCGUAACAAGGUAACCGUAGGGGAACCUGCGGUUGGAUCUCCUCCUUAAGCUUGGAUCCCGGGAUAUGUCGACCUUCCCACACGUAAUAGUGAUCUUCCCCCCACCAACUAGAGAUUAAAAAAAAU